rnacentral:rRNA from 1 species
UACAGAGGUCUCCGGCCUUGUUCGGAUUCAUUGGGCGUAAAGGGUGCGUAGGUGGUUGGGUAAGUCAAAUGUGAAAUCCCGGAGCUCAACUCCGGAACUGCAUUCGAUACUGCCUGGCUCGAGGAUUGGAGAGGAGACUGGAAUUCACGGUGUAGCAGUGAAAUGCGUAGAGAUCGUGAGGAACUCCCGUGGCGUAGGCGGGUCUCUGGACAAUUCCUGACACUGAGCCACGAAGGCCAGGGGAGCAAACGGG